GAAAUGCGAUAAGUAAUGUGAAUUGCAGAAUUCAGUGAAUCAUCGAAUCUUUGAACGCACAUUGCGCCCCCUGGUAUUCCGGGGGGCAUGCCUGUUCGAGUGUCAUUUCACCACUCAAGCCUCGCUUGGUAUUGGGCGACGCGGUCCGCCGCGCGCCUCAAAUCGACCGGCUGGGUCUUCCGUCCCCUCAGCGUUGUGGAAACUAUUCGCUAAAGGGUGCCGCGGGAGGUCACGCCGCAAAACAACCCCAUUUCUAAGGUUGACCUCGGAUCAGGUAGGGAUACCCGCUGAACUUAAGC
rnacentral:misc_RNA from 1 species